UUUACAAAUUUUUGAAAUGCUUUUAAAAUAAUAAAUGUUAUAUAUACAUAUAUAUAUAUAUAUAUUUAGAAUAUAAAUAAAUAUUAUGUUAAUAAUUUUUUAUAGAAAAUCAAUAAAGAAGAUUUGAUCAACUCCAUCAGAUACCAUCAGCGACAGUAGAGAUGGCCAAAUUAAUGGAAAAAUUUAAGAGAAUGCUUUGUGAGGGAAAACUAUAGAGCCAAGGAUUCAGUAUACCAAUUUGAAAAAAAAACAAAUCCUGUUAUAUCUAAAAUUAAUGAAGCAAAUAUUGCUAGAGCAAUGUAUGAACAAAUGAGUGGUAAUGAAAAUUAUUAUCAAUAUAAAGAUGCCAUUGAAAUCCCCUGCAUAGAGACAAGUAGUGAUGCUACAAUUUUAAGGAAUGAUUCAUGUUUUAUAUAAAUAAUAUUCUAUAUAUUUAGCAUCACCAUCUUGUAUAAGAUCAAAUUUAUCUUGCAAAAUAAUUAAAAAGAGGGAUAUUG